UACGUAGGGUGCGAGCGUUGUCCGGAAUUAUUGGGCGUAAAGAGCUCGUAGGCGGUCCGUCACGUCGGAUGUGAAAUUCCAGGGCUCAACCCUGGACCUGCAUUCGAUACGGGCGGACUAGAGUUCGGUAGGGGAGACUGGAAUUCCUGGUGUAGCGGUGAAAUGCGCAGAUAUCAGGAGGAACACCGGUGGCGAAGGCGGGUCUCUGGGCCGAUACUGACGCUGAGGAGCGAAAGCGUGGGGAGCGAACAGG
rnacentral:rRNA from 1 species